UGAAAUGGAAAAUCCAAGAGUUAAUGUGCCCAGCAAUUCACACUUCUUAAGAUGUUUAAGACUUUUUAAAAGUCUAAGCUAUGACAAGACAGGGCUCAUGCGUAUUUCAGAUGAGAAGUUGGAUAUCUUUUCCAGGGUGCUGUUGUGGCAGGUCUCCAGCUCACAGAUAAGCCUGGUGAGGGACCACAUCUGUUGCACACUUCUAGUAUGGGGACCCUCACCUGGCAGAUGUCCAGUGAGCUGGUUUGGGGUUUAGCUCUGCACUCAGCUGAAGGGAAAACUUAACAGAGCGCUCGGCCGCACUCUCUCCUUGCUCGUGAAUUCAGGUUCAGACAUGCAUUUGCAUCUGCAGGCAGGAGUCAGGGAGCCAGGAAAAGCAGAAUCCAUCCAAAAGAAACAAUUCCUGGCAAAAAGGAGUUGGCUGUCUCCAAAUGGGUCUCAUUUUCAGUGUGUGUUUGGUCAUGGCUUCUUUAAGAGGAGGCAGCAGUUUUUGAGAGAAGCAUGGAAGUAGGAAGGAGACAGCACACUGGGGGUUAAGUUAGGACUCCAUUUUCUCCUCUCACUCUGUUCCAGGUCAUUUGACUAGAGGAAACUUUGACUUCCUGUUAGCCACUGCCCCAAAAUCCUCUGUGCUCUGCCUAUUCCUCCUUCCUACCCUCCUAAAUGGUGGCAGGCACUGAUCUUUUUACUCUCUCCAUAGUUUCGCCUUUUCCAGAAUGUCAUAU
rnacentral:lncRNA from 1 species